rnacentral:rRNA from 1 species
GAGGAAAAGAAACCAACCGGGAUUGCCUUAGUAACGGCGAGUGAAGCGGCAAAAGCUCAAAUUUGAAAUCUGGUACCUUCGGUGCCCGAGUUGUAAUUUGGAGAGGGCAACUUUGGGGCCGUUCCUUGUCUAUGUUCCUUGGAACAGGACGUCAUAGAGGGUGAGAAUCCCGUGUGGCGAGGAGUGCGGUUCUUUGUAAAGUGCCUUCGAAGAGUCGAGUUGUUUGGGAAUGCAGCUCUAAGUGGGUGGUAAAUUCCAUCUAAAGCUAAAUAUUGGCGAGAGACCGAUAGCGAACAAGUACAGUGAUGGAAAGAUGAAAAGAACUUUGAAAAGAGAGUGAAAAAGUACGUGAAAUUGUUGAAAGGGAAGGGCAUUUGAUCAGACAUGGUGUUUUGUGCCCUCUGCUCCUUGUGGGUAGGGGAAUCUCGCAUUUCACUGGGCCAGCAUCAGUUUUGGUGGCAGGAUAAAUCCAUAGGAAUGUAGCUUGCCUCGGUAAGUAUUAUAGCCUGUGGGGAAUACUGCCAGCUGGGGACUGAGGACUGCGACGUAAGUCAAGGAUGCUGGCAUAAUGGUUAUAUGCCGCCCGUC